GACGAACGCUGGCGGCGUGCUUAACACAUGCAAGUCGAACGGAAAGGCCCUGCUUUUGUGGGGUGCUCGAGUGGCGAACGGGUGAGUAACACGUGAGUAACCUGCCCUUGACUUUGGGAUAACUUCAGGAAACUGGGGCUAAUACCGGAUAGGAGCUCCUGCUGCAUGGUGGGGGUUGGAAAGUUUCGGCGGUUGGGGAUGGACUCGCGGCUUAUCAGCUUGUUGGUGGGGUAGUGGCUUACCAAGGCUUUGACGGGUAGCCGGCCUGAGAGGGUGACCGGCCACAUUGGGACUGAGGUACGGACCAGACUCCUACGGGAGGCAGCAGUGGGGAAUAUUGCACAAUGGGCGGAAGCCUGAUGCAGCAACGCCGGGUGCGGGAUGACGGCCUUCGGGUUGUAAACAGCUUUCGCCUGUGACGAAGCGUGAGUGACGGUAAUGGGUAAAGAAGCACCGGCUAACUACGUG
rnacentral:rRNA from 1 species